rnacentral:rRNA from 1 species
AUUGAACGCUGGCGGCAGGCCUAACAUAUGCAAGUCGAGCGGAUGAAGGGAGCUUGCUCCUGGAUUCAGCGGCGGACGGGUGAGUAAUGCCUAGGAAUCUGCCUGGUCGUGGGGGAUAACGUCCGGAAACGGGCGCUAAUACCGCAUACGUCCUGAGGGAGAAAGUGGGGGAUCUUCGGACCUCACGCUAUCAGAUGAGCCUAGGUCGGAUGAGCUAGUUGGUGGGGUAAAGGCCUACCAAGGCGACGAUCCGUAACUGGUCUGAGAGGAUGAUCAGUCACACUGGAACUGAGACACGGUCCAGACUCCUACGGGAGGCAGCAGUGGGGAAUAUUGGACGAUGGGCGAAAGCCUGAUCCAGCCAUGCCGCGUGUGUGAAGAAGGUCUUCGGAUUGUAAAGCACUUUAAGUUGGGAGGAAGGGCAGUAAGUUAAUACCUUGCUGUUUUGACGUUACCAACAGAAUAAGCACCGGCUAACUUCGUG